UGCGUAGGCGGGUCUUUAAGUCAGGGGUGAAAUCCUGGAGCUCAACUCCAGAACUGCCUUUGAUACUGAAGAUCUUGAGUUCGGGAGAGGUGAGUGGAACUGCGAGUGUAGAGGUGAAAUUCGUAGAUAUUCGCAAGAACACCAGUGGCGAGGGCGGCUCACUGGCCCGAUACUGACGCUGAGGACAAGCGUGGGGAGCAAACA
rnacentral:rRNA from 1 species